UACGUAGGUGGCAAGCGUUGUCCGGAUUUAUUGGGCGUAAAGCGCGCGCAGGCGGUCCUUUAAGUCUGAUGUGAAAGUCCACGGCUCAACCGUGGAGGGUCAUUGGAAACUGGAGGACUUGAGUGCAGAAGAGGAAAGUGGAAUUCCAAGUGUAGCGGUGAAAUGCGUAGAGAUUUGGAGGAACACCAGUGGCGAAGGCGACUUUCUGGUCUGUAACUGACGCUGAGGCGCGAAAGCGUGGGGAGCAAACAGG
rnacentral:rRNA from 1 species